UACGAAGGGGGCUAGCGUUGCUCGGAAUUACUGGGCGUAAAGCGCACGUAGGCGGUCUUUUAAGUCGGGGGUGAAAUCCUGGAGCUCAACUCCAGAACUGCCUUCGAUACUGGAAGACUCGAGUCCGGGAGAGGUGAGUGGAACUGCGAGUGUAGAGGUGAAAUUCGUAGAUAUUCGCAAGAACACCAGUGGCGAAGGCGGCUCACUGGCCCGGUACUGACGCUGAGGCACGAAAGCGUGGGGAGCAAACAGGG
rnacentral:rRNA from 1 species